GGUUGGCCACGCGCCGCGCUCUCCGCCCCGUCGGGGACGCCCAGGCCACCGGCCUGAUGAGGGAAGCAGGGGCAGAGAGCUCAGGCCAGGGCCGGUGGGGGCACUGCGCACUGGCCGCCUCCCUCCUCUGGCCAAUCCUCCUGCCGCUGCGGGUCUAGUCCACCUCGUCCCUCUCUGCAGUGUGUGAGAAGACCAGAUUCAGCGGCAAUUCCUCCGGGAGGCCCACCGGGAAGAUCUUUGGAGGCCAGAGGGCUGAGCCUGAGCGGUGGCCAUGGUAGGCCAGUCUCCUCUACCUAGGCGGGCACAUCUGUGGAGCUGCCCUCAUCGACAGCAACUGGGUGGCCUCUGCUGCUCACUGCUUCCAAAGUCUUCCUGCCUGAGCCCUUCCAACUUCAGGAGGUCGGUGUCAUGGACAACAGUGUCUGCGGAUCCUUUUUCCAGCCCCAGUACCCCGGCCAGCCAAGCAGCAGUGACUACACCAUCCACGAGGACAUGCUGUGCGCUGGGGACCUCAUAACAGGAAAGGCCAUUUGCCGACAAGACUCCGGGGGUCCCCUCGUCUGCCCGUUAAAUGGCACCUGGUUCCUGAUGGGGCUGUCUAGUUGGAGCCUCGACUGCUGCUCACCCGUCGGUCCCAGCAUCUUCACCAGGCUCCCCUACUUCACCAACUGGAUUAGCCAGAAGAAGAGGGAGAGCACCCCUCCGGAUCCUGCCUUGGCUCCUCCUCAGGAAACGCCCCCAGCCCUGGACAGCAUGACCUCUCAGGGCACCGUCCACAAGCCCGGGCUCUGCGCAGCCCUUCUGGCUGCUCACACGUUCCUCCUGCUGCUAAUUCUCCUGGGGAGCCUGUGAAGGGCCAGGGCCCCUGGCCUCUUACCACAAGCAUGCCCACCUCAGGCCGGCCUCCUUGCUGAGCUCUGCACACUCCUGACGUGUUUCCAUCUCUGAGCUCUCCUGUCCACCCAAGGCCACCCCUGCCUCAGGCCUGACAAACUAAAAACCACUCAAGAAGCUUCUUGCUCUGGUUUCUGGCCCACCAGAGCCAUCUCCCAUGCUCCACUGUGUCUCCAGCUCCUCAGGGAGGGAAGGUCUCCCUCCUCCCUGGGCAGGGUCCAGGCUGACCAUAUGGGAGCCAAGUCACUCUCCUUGGGAAGUUGGGUCGCGCAGACUCAGGCCCCAUUCCUGUCCUCCAGGGCAUGCAGUCUUCCAGAAAAGUGGGGCCAGGGCCUCCCCACAUGGAAGAAGCCGCCUGUACUCCUGGAGCUGGGUGUUGUGCACCGGUCAGGGAUGAAGCGGCAUCUUCCAGGCAUGUUCCUACGUGGAGCAUGGAGUUACGCAAUGGCCUGCCUGUCCAUGAAGUUCCUCUGGCCUCCUCCGAUUCUGUGGCUGCAAAUCCACACCUAGGAGCUCCGCAGGCCUGCUGGAGCACAGCGCCUGUCGGUUUCUGCGCCUGGAACCCACCUCAGGACCACAAGCCGCAUUCAGUCUCUUUUUAUAGAUCUGGAACCCGAAGCCCAGCGUGGUUAGGAACUUGUCUAAGGUCACGUGGUAGUAAAUACUGGAACAGGGAUUCAAACCCACAUCUCCAGAGAGAGCUCAGAAGCCUUGUGCUUCCCAUGAGUGCAGCUGUUCCCAGAGGCCUCCGGCCCUGUCUCACCUUCCCAGACUGCCUUGAGAGGCUCUAGCUGGCCUGUCUCUAGUGUGGCCAGAUUCUGUCUGGUCAGUGGCAAGGGAGGACCCCAGGCCACAAUACUGACAUCAGGGAACAGAACAGAUCUGCAGGGCCAGUGAGUGGUGCUACGGAAAGGCUGGGAGUGGCCCCUGCGUGGUUUUCCCUAGACCCAUUGUCAGGGGCUCCAGGCCUCCAUGUGUUGUGCUGCACGGGCUACUGGCUCCCUCUCCAAAAUCGACCCUGGGUGAGCUGUGGAGGUGAGAAGGCAGUGUGCAUUUCAGAAACUAACCAAAAUCAGUGAGAAAAUCUUGGAGAAACUGAAGUUACCCUGGGCGGCUGUAGCUGGGAAUGGAGGAUGGGGCAGCCAGGAGCCAGACUUAAGAAGGCUGUUCACACUCUGCUCUUGUUGCUUGCCUCCCACACCUCGUGACAAAUGCUGCCUGGUCCUGCUGAGGUGUCAGGAUUGCAAGGUGGCUGUGUCAGCCAGCGUGAGGGCCCCACAAGCCACCGGUGUUGUGUGCCCUCCAUCCUCCUCCUGAAACCCCCCUGGGUGGGACAGUUGCUAUCCAGGGAAAUGGGCCUCUUCCACUGUGAUCUCCUCCAGGGCUUUCACCGGAAGGCCCGCCUGCAGGAGUGGCUUGUGGGGUGGCAGGAUGCAGGAGAGAGUGAGUGAGGUGCUUCAUGCCUGGGGCCCUCUGCUCUGGGGCCACCUUCCUCGUUGACUCAUUGGGAGCCUUGCUAGUGCAGACAGGGUGACCAGGAGCUGCUAAGCCCAGGGAAUGCACACACGUGCACUGGAGCAGCUGCCUAUCUUAAGAGUCCAAUGCCCACCGAAACACAGUAGGCUGCACAGCAUCCACCACUGGAAGUAGAGUUGCUGGAAAAGACAGACCAAACGUAUUUAAUAAGCACAAUAAAUAUCUUUUUGGAUACAGAAAAAUAUUAUUAGCAAUAAGACCUAAGACAAAGAAACUACCGAAAAGAACCAAGUCAAAAUAUUACAUAUGCAAAAUGUAAUCGUUGAAUUAAAGACCACAUUACAUUGAGCAAACAGGGUCAAUGCAGAUGAAAGAGGAAGCCAGUCGUUACUUUAAAGGUAUGGCUGUCACAGUGUGGACUUUGGAGCCGGUCCACUUUAGUUGGGGUAAUUUGUAGAGCAUUUAUUUACAAAAGUACUAAUCACCCAGGUAUGUUUGGGCUGAAGGCUCCGGGAAAGCCCAGGGCAGGGGUCUGGCACAGGCAUCAGAAGCAGAGCUCUUGCCACCCAAGGCCCUGAGGGACCAGUGAAGUAGGAGCCGUGGGGAGAGGGUGCCUGAGAGGAGCAGGGACACUCAGCCGAGGGACACAGCCAGCCAAGGCGGCCUCACAAAGAGGGUUUUCAUGGAAACAAAUGCACUGACUACUUCAUUCCCACAUCUUUGGCUGAGGCUCCCAUGGCAAGUGGAGAGAGCAGCUGCAGGUGGCCUCGGUCACUUGGGUCAGCUCUCCUGCUUAAAACAAACACAGAAAUCAAUAAAAAUGUUGAUUGUAUUAUU